rnacentral:other from 1 species
ACGCAGGUUUCCUCAACUGACAUAACCGUGCAAACUGAAGUUUCGCCCGGUCUUUCCGGGUCUUGAGAGACGACAUUUGUACUGAAAUCAACUCCACAAUUGGUCUACUGGCGGGUGCUAGUAAUGACUUUGUUGCUUCGUAGCGGAGCACGCAAGCCGCGGGAACUCCCCCUUGGUAACAAGGACCCGCGGGGCCGAAAGCCACGUUCUCUGAACCUUGCGUGUGUGCAACCCCAGCACGGUAACACUGUCACGAAACACACUUUAAGGUAACACCGAGACUGGUACUUGGUUUCUGGAGACAGGCUAAGGAUGCCCUUCAGGUACCCCGAGGUAACAAGCGACACUCGGGAUCUGAGAAGGGGAUUGGGGCUUCUAUCCAAGCGCCCAAUUUAAAAAGCUUCUAUGCCUGAAUAGGUGACCGGAGGCCGGCACCUUUUCCUUUACCCACAACUUACU